rnacentral:rRNA from 1 species
GCACAAGCGGUGGAUGAUGUGGAUUAAUUCGAUGCAACGCGAAAACCUUACCUACCCUUGACAUGUCCGGAAUCCCGAAGAGAUUUGGGAGUGCUCGCAAGAGAGCCGGAACACAGGUGCUGCAUGGCUGUCGUCAGCUCGUGUCGUGAGAUGUUGGGUUAAGUCCCGCAACGAGCGCAACCCUUAUCAUUAGUUGCUACGCAAGGGCACUCUAAUGAGACUGCCGGUGACAAACCGGAGGAAGGUGGGGAUGACGUCAAGUCCUCAUGGCCCUUAUGGGUAGGGCUUCACACGUCAUACAAUGGUCGGUACAGAGGGUUGCCAAGCCGCGAGGUGGAGCCAAUCCCAGAAAGCCGAUCGUAGUCCGGAUUGUUCUCUGCAACUCGAGAGCAUGAAGUCGGAAUCGCUAGUAAUCGCGGAUCAGCAUGUCGCGGUGAAUACGUUCCCGGGUCUU